rnacentral:rRNA from 1 species
AUUGAACGCUGGCGGCAGGCCUAACACAUGCAAGUCGAGCGGAGCGGCGGACGGGUGAGUAAUGCCUAGGAAUCUGCCUGGUAGUGGGGGAUAACGUCCGGAAACGGGCGCUAAUACCGCAUACUAUCAGAUGAGCCUAGGUCGGAUUAGCUAGUUGGUGGGGUAAAGGCCUACCAAGGCGACGAUCCGUAACUGGUCUGAGAGGAUGAUCAGUCAAACUGGAAGUGAGACACGGUCCAGACUCUUACGGAAGGAAGCGGUGGGGAAUAUUUGAAAAGGGGCGAAAGCCGGAUCCAGCCAUGCCGGGUGUGUGAAGAGGGUCUUCGGGUUGUAAAGCACUUUAAGUUGGGAGGCGUUACCAACAGAAUAGGCACCGGCUAACUUCGUGCCAGCAGCCGCGGUAAUC